CGGCAGACGGGUGAGUAACGCGUGGGAACGUACCUUUUGCUACGGAAUAGCUCUGGGAAACUGGAAUUAAUACCGUAUGUGCCCUUCGGGGGAAAGAUUUAUCGGCAAAAGAUCGGCCCGCGUUGGAUUAGCUAGUUGGUGGGGUAAAGGCCUACCAAGGCGACGAUCCAUAGCUGGUCUGAGAGGAUGAUCAGCCACAUUGGGACUGAGACACGGCCCAAACUCCUACGGGAGGCAGCAGUGGGGAAUAUUGGACAAUGGGCGCAAGCCUGAUCCAGCCAUGCCGCGUGAGUGAUGAAGGUCUUAGGAUUGUAAAGCUCUUUCAACGGUGAAGAUAAUGACGGUAACCGUAGAAGAAGCCCCGGCUAACUUCGUGCCAGCAGCCGCGGUAAUACGAAGGGGGCUAGCGUUGUUCGGAAUUACUGGGCGUAAAGCGCGCGUAGGCGGGUAUUUAAGUCAGGGGUGAAAUCCCAGAGCUCAACUCUGGAACUGCCUUUGAUACUGGGUACCUAGAGUCCGGAAGAGGUGAGUGGAAUUGCGAGUGUAGAGGUGAAAUUCGUAGAUAUUCGCAGGAACACCAGUGGCGAAGGCGGCUCACUG
rnacentral:rRNA from 1 species